UACGUAGGGGGCAAGCGUUGUCCGGAUUUAUUGGGCGUAAAGAGCUCGUAGGUGGUUCGUUAAGUCGGAUGUGAAAUCUCCAGGCUCAACCUGGAGGGGUCAUUCGAUACUGCCGUGACUAGAGUUCGGUAGGGGAGUGUGGAAUUCCUGGUGGAGCGGUGAAAUGCGCAGAUAUCAGGAGGAACACCCGUGGCGAAGGCGGCACUCUGGGCCGAUACUGACACUGAGGAGCGAAAGCGUGGGGAGCGAACAGG
rnacentral:rRNA from 1 species